rnacentral:rRNA from 1 species
UGCUUACGUUCCCUCGGUGGGUUCGCCCACCGAUUGGACAAAAAAUAAACCCUUUGCAGUUGCAAUCAGCGUCUGAAAAACUUAAUAGUUACAACUUUCAACAACGGAUCUCUUGGUUCUGGCAUCGAUGAAGAACGCAGCGAAAUGCGAUAAGUAGUGUGAAUUGCAGAAUUCAGUGAAUCAUCGAAUCUUUGAACGCACAUUGCGCCCCUUGGUAUUCCAUGGGGCAUGCCUGUUCGAGCGUCAUUUGUACCUUCAAGCUCUGCUUGGUGUUGGGUGUUUGUCUCGCCUUUGCGUGUAGACUCGCCUUAAAAGAAUUGGCAGCCGGCGUAUUGAUUUCGGAGCGCAGUACAUCUCGCGCUUUGCACUCAUAACGACGACGUCCAAAAGUACAUUUUUACACUCUUGACCUCGGAUCAAGUAGGGAUACCCGCUGAACUUAAGCAUAUGAAUUAGCG